rnacentral:rRNA from 1 species
UACGUAGGGUCCGAGCGUUGUCCGGAGUUACUGGGCGUAAAGCGCGCGCAGGCGGCCCGCUGGGACCGGUGUGAAAGCCCCCGGCUCAACCGGGGGGGGUCGUCGGUGACCGGCGGGCUUGAGGACGGCAGGGGCCGGUGGAAUGCCCGGUGUAGUGGUGAAAUGCGUAGAGAUCGGGCGGAACACCCGUGGCGAAGGCGGCCGGCUGGGCCGUUCCUGACGCUGAGGCGCGAAGGCGUGGGGAGCGAACGGG